GCCAUGGCGACGGUGGUGGUUCCUCGUCGGAAACGCUCAGCAGGUCAGGCAGCGUCCGCGGAGGCAGAGCCCGAGCUAAUACUUCACGAUCAUUUCAUCACAUCAGUGCAUUGCGGUAUUACAAGGGAAAACAAUAACAGAAUGCAGAAUAAAGUGUUACAGUUACAGAGAAAGUGCAGUGCAGGCAGACAAGGUGCAAGGCCAUAACAAGGUAGAUUGUGAGAUGUUGCCUGACCUGCCAAGUUAGGCAAUAAGUGUCGGCAGUGCCAGAAACCAACACGUCCCGUAAAUGGAUUCAAAAAUAACUCUGAAUCAUUGUGAAGUUCUUUGGGAUGUCACAAGGUCAUGGAAGAGUCUUCGCAGUGGUUGAACCAAGCAUCACUCAGUGCGUGCUCCUGUACCCUGGAAUGUGCCAGUGAACAGCAACCAGCCUCCCCUUCAUUGAAUCCAUCUGACUUCCUGCUACCUCGGGAAAACAGCCAGUAUAAUCAAGGAUUAUAUUGGAUCAAGGAUCCCUCCCACCCUGGUCAUUCUCUCUUUUUCUCCCUCCCAUCAGGCAGAAGAUACAUAACCCUGAGAACAUUUACCACCAGGCUCAAGGACAACUUCUAUCCCACUGUGAUGAGACUCUUGACGGACCUCUUGUAUGAUAAAGAUGGACUCUUGACCUCACAAUCUACCUCGUCAUGGCCUUGCACCUUAUUGUCUGCCUGCACUGCACUUUCUCUGUAACUGUAACGCUCUGUUCUACAUUCUCUAUCUUCUGUAUUAUUUUCUUGUUUAUUCCCUCAAUGUACUUAUGUAUGGAAUAAACUGUCUGGACUGUACAGUUUUUCACUGUAUCUCAGUACAUGUGACAAUAAUAAACCUAUUACCAGUAACUUGCAGACAUUUUCAACAAGUGUCGGGCAGACCAAGGCGCAUCUUUCACCGAGUUGAUGAUCUUCCAACAGCACUCGAUGUCUGUCUCAGCGAGUGUCCCUGGGAACACCCUGUAGAUCAGAGAGUCCUCCGUUAUAUAGCUGUCCAGGAUAAACAUCAACAUCCCUUCUCAGACCUUCUUGACAAACACAUGGUCCUCAAGGAGGUGGGUAAUGUGUAGGCCGGGAUUGUGAGUCUGCUGUGCGUGAAGCAUUUGACAGGGUGAACCCCUUCUCACUACCAGCCAAGCAAAGUCUGUGCCCCUAUACCACCACAAUUACAAAUGGCAACAUUAACCAACGCAAACAAUCCACGUUGACUGAGGGCAGUGUUUUCAAAUGCUGAGGCACAUCUUAGUGCAAGUAACCAAAGCCCUGGUCAAAGAGGUAGGUUUUGUGGAGAAUCUCAGAUGAGGAAAGUGUGGCAGAGGGAUUUGGGGAUGGGAUUUCCAGA